rnacentral:rRNA from 1 species
GAUCCUGGCUCAGAUUGAACGCUGGCGGCAUGCCUUACACAUGCAAGUCGAACGGCAGCACGGGAGCAAUCCUGGUGGCGAGUGGCGAACGGGUGAGUAAUAUAUCGGAACGUGCCCAGUCGUGGGGGAUAACGUAGCGAAAGUUACGCUAAUACCGCAUACGAUCUACGGAUGAAAACGGGGGAUCGCAAGACCUCGCGCGAUUGGAGCGGCCGAUAUCAGAUUAGGUAGUUGGUGGGGUAAAGGCUCACCAAGCCAACGAUCUGUAGCUGGUCUGAGAGGACGACCAGCCACACUGGAACUGAGACACGGUCCAGACUCCUACGGGAGGCAGCAGUGGGGAAUUUUGGACAAUGGACGCAAGUCUGAUCCAGCCAUUCCGCGUGCAGGAUGAAGGCCCUCGGGUUGUAAACUGCUUUUGUACGGAACGAAAAGGUUUCUAUUAAUACUAGGAGCUCAUGACGGUACCGUAAGAAUAAGCACCGGCUAACUACGUG